rnacentral:rRNA from 1 species
UACGUAGGGUGCAAGCGUUAUCCGGAAUUAUUGGGCGUAAAGAGCUCGUAGGCGGUUUGUCGCGUCUGCUGUGAAAACUGGGGGCUCAACCCCCCAGCCUGCAGUGGGUACGGGGCAGACUAGAGUGCGGUAGGGGAGAUUGGAAUUCCUGGUGUAGCGGUGGAAUGCGCAGAUAUCAGGAGGAACACCGAUGGCGAAGGCAGAUCUCUGGGCCGUAACUGACGCUGAGGAGCGAAAGCAUGGGGAGCGAACAGG